rnacentral:lncRNA from 1 species
CCCCGUCCAAAGACUGGCCUGCAGGCGGCCAUGUUGGAGAGGGCAGACUGUUUGUGUCUGGCAGUGACAGAGCAAAGGUGUCAUCGCCUCAGACAAGAUUCGGUCUGUCAGCCCCAGACGACUCCCGACCCGAGCCGAGCCGUUUCUUCUGGUCUUCAAAAUGGCCUCUUAUGGAUGUCACUUCUCUUUAAGGCUCCAGAACGUUUCGGGUCUAGAGAGAUUUGACAGCACGAUGAUGACGAUGAGGAGAAGCUGCACAUGGCUGGGCCCUGGGUUUAAGCCUCCUCUCCGCUGUCGUCGGGGUUUAUCUAUGCAGAGCUGUCAUCUUGCGGCACAGAUUGUGGGGCCGUGGCGUGUGCGCCUCCUUCAAAGGCCCGGCGUCAGUGCGAGUUAGUUCAUCAUUGUCUCAGAUCAGCUUCAAAGACACACCAUUGGCCUGCAGAUGGCCGCUGUGUGCUCCGUGGCUCCGCUUGUCCAGUACGUGUUAAUGGCAGAGCGUGCUGAGCUCCCCAGCAGGGACAGCUCUGAACGGCGUGACUCCACUGCUUAACCCAGCGUUCUACUCACAUCUACCAACAGAUCAGUGAAAGCGCGUCGUAAUGGAUGCAUGAGCUGGAUACCGUUUUCUGAAAUGCGACUGCCUAUAGGAAGACUCAGCACUGAAGGGGCAAUAAUGUUUCUACAGACCGUUUCUUCUGCAGCAUAAAGUACAAUGUUUUGGACUAUUUUUUAUUGCUUAAUAGAUAGAACCCGGAAUUGUUCUUCAGAUUUCAAAGUCUUUAAAUCGUCACCAGACUCGUAAGCAGUUCUGAGUUCAAAGUGUUUUAGCUGUGGCACCAUUGAUUUGCUUAGCUUAAAAUGAAAUCUAUAUUUUCUGUUUGUUUGUUUGUUUUUUUUGGUUCCCAUUGCCACUACUGCCUGCAGAGGGCACUCAAGGCUAAUUCGAAAUCCCAACCAACACAGUCCUCGGGAAGUGCAGAAAAAAAGAAGAAACAAAAAAGUUGACAUACAAGUAAGUUUGUCCAGUGGCCGAUAUAAUCGACAUUGCAAACUGUCAUAUAUUUUCAUUACGUGAAGAAAUGGUUUUCCGUACCUGCUUUUAACAUUUAAAAUCUCCCACCCACCUGCCUCAGAAAUACAGCCGUAUUUUUGGCCCACAUCUGAGAGUAAGUGGGCAGCGGUGCAGCAGAGUAGCUCAGAGCAGUACAUGCAGUGUGCUGUGGUGCUGAUAAGCACAUCACACACACAGAGGAGGCAGAGGAGAGGGUCUACUCCCACUCUCACUCCCAAGGAUGUUCUGUGCAUCUGCAGAAGAGUCUCACUCCUUUCUCCCUGAUGUGGGAUUUGGAAGAAACAGUUUGAUAAGUUUCAUAUGAGAACUGUUUGAUCACAGCUAAUUACUGACCAUAUUGUGGGCGAUCCUAUUGCAGGAUAAAGGUGUCUUACUCUUGACAUUUCUAGUGUGUCUGAAAAUCCAAUGCCCCCAAUGGAUAUUUAAUAUAUCCUGGACAAGUGAGACCAAACCCAAGCAUGGCCAAAUUCGAAAAAGAAGUCUGUAUCAUGGUUUCAUUCCAUGUAGGCUGCUCUGCUCUGGCCCAUUGCCCUUCACAGUGUCACUCCCAGAGAGCGUAGACACUUUUGGCGUACAGUCACAGCUCCACUGCCACGCAUAAUGGCUUCAAAUGGCGUGAAACAGGAUUAGCGCUAAUUCAAGGUCAAUAUGUGGUGCUAAUAGAACCUAAACGCCUGGAUGAUAUGAUAAGUUUAGUAUGUUACACUGUAUGCUGCAUGUCACACCAUCCCUGGCCAUUCCAGGCUUCUUAUUCAAAGUACUGUGCAUGUUUUAUAUUUUCACAUGUGUAGCCUCCUGACUCAAUUUAUCUGUGUAAUACACCAUGUAAUCUGUGUUUGGG